GAUGAACGCUGGCGGCGUGCUUAACACAUGCAAGUCGAACGAUGACGCCCAGCUUGCUGGGUGGCUUGGUGGUGACCGGGUGAGUCACACGUGAGUAACCUGCCCUUCACUCUGGGAUAAGCCUUGGUAACUGGGUCUAAUACCGGACAGGAGCUUUCUCGGCUUGGGGUGUGCUGGCGUGAUUUGUCGGUUUUGGUUGGAUUCGCGCCUUAUUAGCUUAUUUUGGAGGUAUUGUCUCAGCAAAGCGACGACAGGUAGCCGGCCUGGGAGGGGGGCAGGCCAAACUAGGACUGAGACACGACACAGACUCGUACGGGAGGCAACGGAGGGGAAGAGUGCACUAUGGGCGGAAGGCUGGUGUAGCGACGCCGCGUGGGGGAUGACGGGCUGCGGGUAGUAAACCUCUUUCAGUAGAGAAGAAGCGAUAGUGACGGUACCUGCAGAAGAAGCACCGGCUAACUACGUG
rnacentral:rRNA from 1 species